rnacentral:rRNA from 1 species
GACGGACGCUGGCGGCGUGCCUAAUACAUGCAAGUCGAGCGGACGGAUGGGAGCUUGCUCCCAGACCGUCAGCGGCGGACGGGUGAGUAACACGUGGGCAACCUGCCUGUAAGACUGGGAUAACUCCGGGAAACCGGGGCUAAUACCGGAUAACUCUUUCCCUCACAUGAGGGAAAGCUGAAAGAUGGCAUCUCGCUAUCACUUACAGAUGGGCCCGCGGCGCAUUAGCUAGUUGGUGAGGUAACGGCUCACCAAGGCGACGAUGCGUAGCCGACCUGAGAGGGUGAUCGGCCACACUGGGACUGAGCCACGGCCCAGACUCCUACGGGAGGCAGCAGUAGGGAAUCUUCCGCAAUGGACGAAAGUCUGACGGAGCAACGCCGCGUGAGUGAUGAAGGUUUUCGGAUCGUAAAACUCUGUUGUCAGGGAAGAACAAGUACCGGAGUAACUGCCGGUACCUUGACGGUACCUGACCAGAAAGCCACGGCUAACUACGUG